rnacentral:rRNA from 1 species
CAAAAACAUCUCCUUUAGGGUAUAUUUUAAAGGUAUUCUCUGCUCAAUGAAUUUUUUAAUAGCCGCAGUAUUUUGACUGUGCUAAGGUAGCAUAGUAAUUUGUCUUAUAAUUGAGGACUGGAAUGAAAGAGUUGACGAUAUUUUAGCUUUCCUGGGAAAAUUUAUGGAAUUUGAUAUCUUCAUAAAAAAGUGAAGAUAGUUUUAGGGACGAUAAGACCCUAUAAAGCUUUAUUAAAAAUUGCAAUUUUUAAUUGGACUUAAUUUAAAGGUGUAAUUUUUAAUUGAGCUGGGGCGGCAACCAAUUUAUUCAUUGGUAAAUAUAACACUUAUAAGUGAGAGUAAAGAUCUUUUUAAGAUUUAGAAUAAGCUACUUUAGGGAUAACAGCACAAUUUUACCAGAGAGAUCUUAUUGAAGGUAAAGACUUGUGACCUCGAUGUUGAAUUGAAGGGACUUUUUCAAGCAGAAAUGAAAAAAGGGGGUCUGUUCGACCCAUAAUUCUUC